UACGGAGGGUGCAAGCGUUGUCCGGAUUUAUUGGGUUUAAAGGGUGCGUAGGCGGCCCGUUAAGCCAGCGGUGAAAUCCCACGGCUCAACCGUGGAACUGCCGUUGAUACUGGCGGGCUUGAGUUCGGGCGAGGCGGGCGGAACUGGUGGUGUAGCGGUGAAAUGCAGAUACCACCAAGAACCCCGAUUGCGAAGGCAGCUCGCUGGGCCGAAACUGACGCUGAGGCACGAAAGCGUGGGGAGCGAACUGG
rnacentral:misc_RNA from 1 species